CGAGAUGAGUUCUCCCUGACUCCUUGAGAGUCCUGAAGGAACGUUGAAGACGACGACGUUGAUAGGCCGGGUGUGUAAGCGCAGCGAUGCGUUGAGCUAACCGGUACUAAUGAACCGUGAGGCUUAACCUUACAACGCCGAAG
rnacentral:rRNA from 2 species